rnacentral:rRNA from 1 species
CCUACGGGAGGCAGCAGUGGGGAAUUUUGGACAAUGGGCGCAAGCCUGAUCCAGCAAUGCCGCGUGCAGGAUGAAGGCCUUCGGGUUGUAAACUGCUUUUGUACGGAACGAAACGGUGAGCUCUAAUACAGUUUGCUAAUGACGGUACCGUAAGAAUAAGCACCGGCUAACUACGUGCCAGCAGCCGCGGUAAUACGUAGGGUGCGAGCGUUAAUCGGAAUUACUGGGCGUAAAGCGUGCGCAGGCGGUGAUGUAAGACAGAUGUGAAAUCCCCGGGCUCAACCUGGGACCUGCAUUUGUGACUGCAUCGCUAGAGUACGGUAGAGGGGGAUGGAAUUCCGCGUGUAGCAGUGAAAUGCGUAGAUAUGCGGAGGAACACCGAUGGCGAAGGCAAUCCCCUGGACCUGUACUGACGCUCAUGCACGAAAGCGUGGGGAGCAAACAGGAUUAGAUACCCUGGUAGUCCACGCCCUAAACGAUGUCAACUGGUUGUUGGUCUUCACUGACUCAGUAACGAAGCUAACGCGUGAAGUUGACCGCCGUAGGGGAGUACGGCCCGCGAAGGGUUAGAAACCGUCGAAAAGGAAGUUGGAACCGGGCGUAGAGGACGUUGCCGACGGGACGACGACGAGGGGAGGAGGG